GGAACACAGCCUCUAUCGCUCUAGGGCUGGGAACAGCGAAGCAAAACAGGCUGCAGGGUCUCUAGAGGACUCUACAGGCAGCGGGGUCCAGUGGCAGUGGCCUGUUCUGGGUGUAUUCAGUAUUGUAUUGGUCGGUGUUGGUGUUGGAGCUGCUCUGAAAUGCAGAGACAAAAUGCGGAAGCCACAAGACGCUGAGACAGAGGAGAAGCAGACACAGUCUGAUUACAGGUCCAACUCUCUGUAUGCAGUCUGGGUUAAAGAGAGGAACGGGAACACUGACGAAUCACCAGCAGGUGAUGUUGCCUCUUGUGGGUCUCAUCCACAAAAUGCAGCGCCCAGACCUCCAUCAGAGGGGAGAGGAGACAAUAUGCAGUCAGCUGUGGAAUUACAGCUUUAGGUUCAAAUGGAUGGAGAGUGAUUCAGAUAGGAGUAUGAACGAAAUAAGCCUGAACAGUGUAUAGGCCACCAACCACUAUAAUAAUAUAUCAGCACAGUAUCAGACUUGCUGGGUACACACUAUACAGGAAUCAAGCCAGGGAAAUAUGUAUACCAUGCAUCAACGUUCUUUUAUUAAACAUAUUUCCAAUGGAGCUAUUCACAUGAAAUGUACACCUGACAUUGAUAUUAAUUCAAUAAAACUAUACAGUCGCAUUCACUAUACACUGGACACUACACUAUACAGACACAUUCAAUGAGACUAUAAGUGGAACAACACAGGAAAAAAAUAUUGGACACGUCAACUGAAAUGUACUUAAUAACUGCUGGAGAACAGCUUUCAUAAUGCCUCCUGUAUGGAGAAAUGAAUCUCUCACAGUGUUCACGUUGCAUUUUGGUCAAUACUUUUUCCUGUGUUAUUCCACUUUAUUGUGCAUAACUUUAAAAUGCAUAGUUAUACUGAGUUCACAAUAAUGUCUGGUGUAAAGUUCACGUGAAUAGCUGCAUUUCAAAUAUGUUUAAUGAAAAAAAUGUUGAUGUGUUUAAUACUUAU